UGGGGAAUCUUCCGCAAUGGACGAAAGUCUGACGGAGCAACGCCGCGUGAACGAUGACGGCCUUCGGGUUGUAAAGUUCUGUUAUACGGGACGAAUGGUACGACGGUCAAUACCCGUCGUAAGUGACGGUACCGUAAGAGAAAGCCACGGCUAACUACGUGCCAGCAGCCGCGGUAAUACGUAGGUGGCAAGCGUUGUCCGGAAUUAUUGGGCGUAAAGGGCGCACAGGCGGCGUCGUAAGUCGGUCUUAAAAGUGCGGGGCUUAACCCCGUGAGGGGACCGAAACUGCGAUGCUAGAGUAUCGGAGAGGAAAGCGGAAUUCCUAGUGUAGCGGUGAAAUGCGUAGAUAUUAGGAGGAACACCAGUGGCGAAAGCGGCUUUCUGGACGACAACUGACGCUGAGGCGCGAAAGCCAGGGGAGCAAACGGGAUUAGAUACCCCGGUAGUCCUGGCCGUAAACGAUGAUUGCUAGGUGUGGGGGGUCUGACCCCUUCCGUGCCGGAGUUAACACAAUAAGCAAUCCACCUGGGGAGUACGGCCGCAAGGUUG
rnacentral:rRNA from 1 species